rnacentral:rRNA from 1 species
UACGGGGGGGGGCAAGCGUUGUUCGGAAUUACUGGGCGUAAAGGGCUCGUAGGCGGCCAACUAAGUCGGACGUGAAAUCCCUCGGCUUAACCGGGGAACUGCGUCCGAUACUGGAUGGCUUUGAGUUCGGGAGAGGGAUGCGGAAUUCCAGGUGUAGCGGUGAAAUGCGUAGAUAUCUGGAGGAACACCGGUGGCGAAGGCGGCAUCCUGGACCGACACUGACGCUGAGGAGCGAAAGCCAGGGGAGCAAACGGG